rnacentral:rRNA from 1 species
CCUACGGGUGGCAGCAGUGAGGAAUAUUGGUCAAUGGACGGAAGUCUGAACCAGCCAUGCCGCGUGCAGGAAGACGGCUCUACGAGUUGUAAACUGCUUUUGUACAAGGGUAAACCUGAAUACGUGUAUUUAGUUGAAUGUACUGUACGAAUAAGGAUCGGCUAACUCCGUGCCAGCAGCCGCGGUAAUACGGAGGAUCCAAGCGUUAUCCGGAUUUAUUGGGUUUAAAGGGUGCGUAGGUGGAUUGAUAAGUUAGUGGUGAAAUGUCCGGGCUUAACGCGGAAAUUGCAUUUAAUACUGGUAGUCUAGAGAGUAGAUGCGGUAGGCGGAAUGUAUGGUGUAGCGGUGAAAUGCUUAGAGAUCAUAAAGAACACCGAUUGCGAAGGCAGCUUACCAAUCUAUAUCUGACGUUGAGGCACGAAAGCGUGGGGAGCAAACAGGAUUAGAUACCCUAGUAGUC